rnacentral:rRNA from 1 species
CAGUUCGGCUGCAGGCUGCAACUCGCCUGCACGAAGUCGGAAUCGCUAGUAAUCGCGGAUCAGCAUGUCGCGGUGAAUACGUUCCCGGGUCUUGUACACACCGCCCGUCACACCAUGGGAGUCGGAAAUGCCCGAAGCCAGUGACCCAACCUUUAAGGAGGGAGCUGUCGAAGGCAGGUCUGGUAACUGGGGUGAAGUCGUAACAAGGUAGC